rnacentral:tRNA from 1 species
GGAGAGGUGUCCGAGUGGUUGAAGGAGCCGGUCUCGAAAACCGGUGUGCGGGAAACCGUACCGUGGGUUCAAAUCCCACCCUCUCCGCCA